UACGAAGGGGGCUAGCGUUGCUCGGAAUCACUGGGCGUAAAGGGUGCGUAGGCGGGUUUUUAAGUCAGAGGUGAAAUCCUGGAGCUCAACUCCAGAACUGCCUUUGAUACUGCGAAUCUUGAGUUCGGGAGAGGUGAGUGGAACUGCGAGUGUAGAGGUGAAAUUCGUAGAUAUUCGCAAGAACACCAGUGGCGAAGGCGGCUCACUGGCCCGAUACUGACGCUGAGGCACGAAAGCGUGGGGAGCAAACAGG
rnacentral:rRNA from 1 species